rnacentral:lncRNA from 1 species
AUGAACAAAGCUAGUGGAGGUGAUGGAAUUCCAGUUGAGCUGUUUCAAAUCCUGAAAGAUGAUGCUAUGAAAGUGUUGCACUCAAUAUGCCAGCAUAUUUGGAAAACUCAGCGGUGGCCACAGGACUGGAAAAGGUCAGUUUUCCUUCCAAUCCCAAAGAAAGGCAAUGCCAUAGAAUGCUCAAACUGCUGCACAAUUGCACUCAUCUCACAUGCUAGUAAAGCAAUGCUCAAAAUUCUCCAAGCCAGGCUUCAGCAGUACGUGAACUGUGAACUUCCAGAUGUUCAAGCUGGUUUUAGAACAGGCAGAGGAACCAGAGAUCAAAUUGCCACCAUCCGCUGGAUCAUGGAAAAAGCAAGAGAGUUCCAGAAAAACCUCUAUUUCUGCUUUACUGACUAUGCCAAAGCCUUUGACUGUGUGGAUCACAAUAAACUGUGGAAAAUUCUGAAAGAGAUGGGAAUACCAGACCACCUGACCUGCCUCUUGAGAAAUCUGUAUGCAGGUCAGGAAACAAUAGUUAGAACUGGACAUGGAACAACAGACUGGUUCCAAAUAGGAAAAGGAGUACAUCAAGGCUGUAUAUUGUCACGCUGCUAUGCAGAGUACAUCAUGAGAAACGCUGGACUGGAAGAAACAAAAGCUGGAAUCAAGAUUGCUGGGAGAAAUAUGAAUAACCUCAGAUAUGCAGAUGACAGCACCCUUAUGGCAGAAAGUGAAGAGGAACUAAAAAGCCUCUUGAUGAAAGUGAAAGUGGAGAGUGAAAAGGCUGGCCUAAAGCUCAACAUUCAGAAAACGAAGAUCAUGGCAUCCGGUCCCAUCACUUCAUGGGAGAUAGAUGGGGAAACAGUGGAAACAGUGUCAGACUUCAUUUUCUGGAGCUCCAAAAUCAAUGCAGAAGGUGACUGCAGCCAUGAAAUUAAAAGAUGCUUACUCCUUGGAAGAAAAGUUAUGACCAACCUAGAUAGCAUAUUCAAAAGCAGAGACAUUACUUUGCCAACUAAGCUCUGUCUAGUCAAGGCUAUGGUUUUUCCAUUGGUCAUGUAUGGAUGUGAGAGUUGGACUGUGAAGAAAGCUGAGCGACAAAGAAUUGAUGCUUUUGAACUGUGGUGUUGGAGAAGACUCUUGAGAGUGCCUUGGACUGCAAGGAGAUCCAACCAGUCCAUUCUGGAGGAGAUCAGCUGUGGGAUUUCUUUGGAAGGAAUGGCGCUAAAGCUGAAACUCCAGUACUUUGGCCACCUGAUGCGAAGAGCUGACUCAUUGAUAAAGACUCUGAUGCUGGGAGGGAUUGUGGGCAGCAGGAGAAGGGGAUGA